rnacentral:rRNA from 1 species
ACUGGGGCACAUGCCACCCUGAACAAGCCUGAUGUCUGAUCUUGGAAGCUAAGCAGCGUAGGGCCUGGUUAGUACUUGGAUGGGAGACCACCUAGGAAGUCCAGGUGUUGUAGGCA